rnacentral:rRNA from 1 species
UACGGAGGGGGCGAGCGUUAUUCGGAAUUAUUGGGCGUAAAGGGCGCGUAGGCGGCCCGGUAAGUCAAAGGUGAAAUCCCUCGGCUCAACUGAGGAACUGCCUUUGAAACUGUCGGGCUUGAGGCCGGGAGGGGGUAGCGGAAUUCCCAGUGUAGCGGUGAAAUGCGUAGAUAUUGGGAGGAACACCGGUGGCGAAGGCGGCUACCUGGACCGGUUCUGACGCUGAGGCACGAAAGCGUGGGGAGCAAACAGG